UACGUAGGGGGCAAGCGUUGUCCGGAUUUAUUGGGCGUAAAGAGCGUGUAGGCGGUUUGGUAGGUCCGCUGUGAAAAACUCGAGGCUCAACCUCGAGACGCCGGUGGAAACCAUCAGACUAGAGUCCGGAAGAGGAGAGUGGAAUUCCUGGUGUAGCGGUGAAAUGCGCAGAUAUCAGGAAGAACACCCGUGGCUAAGGCGGCUCUCUAGUACGGUACUGACGCUGAGACGCGAAAGCGUGGGGAGCGAACAGG
rnacentral:rRNA from 1 species